UACGAAGGGGGCUAGCGUUGCUCGGAAUUACUGGGCGUAAAGGGCGCGUAGGCGGCGGAUCAAGUCAGGCGUGAAAUUCCUGGGCUUAACCUGGGGCUGCGCUUGAGACUGAUGUGCUUGAGGAUGGCAGAGGCUCGUGGAAUUCCCAGUGUAGAGGUGAAAUUCGUAGAUAUCUGGAGGAACACCGGUGGCGAAGGCGGCAUCCUGGACCGACACUGACGCUGAGGAGCGAAAGCCAGGGAGCAAACGGG
rnacentral:rRNA from 1 species